UACAUACUGUAGGUGGCAGUAAUGCAAUUUAAGGGAUUCCAGCUGCUUUUAUAAAUCCUCGCAGAAGAAGUCAUUCGUUCUUUCACGAUGGCCGAACAACAAGUUGAAACAGCGAUAUACACCAAGACCCCAGGAAGAGCACCAAUCUGUUUGGUUUCCAGUGCUUUGAACAGAGGUUAAUGAUGGGCUCCACCUCUCCUGUCCCAUUGUGCCCCAGCAGCGCCUGCAGGAAGUAGCGGCUGCUGGCGGCGAGCACGGCCCUGUGAGCGCGGACCUCCCGGCCCUCCACCAGCACCGUGACAUCACACAGGAUGCCCUGCCGCCGCUGCUCCUCCAGGCUCAACAGCACGUUGGCACAGUGGACCUUGGAUUCAUACACGUACAGGGGCGCUGCCGCCUCUCCAUCCCGCUCCUCGUCUGCCGACAUCACUCCCUCUAGCACCCUGCACAAACAGAAUAGAGGAGGGAGUUCCUCUACCCCACCCUGCCUGAAAUGCCUCCAUUGGACUCCUUUGUUUACUUCCGUAAAAUAGAUACUACAUAACAUUUGCACUUCUAUUGGCUAGCGCUCCAAGACAUUGUACGUGACUGGGCUCUGGUUUCAGACAGAGGGUGAAAAGAGGUGCUGCAGCACAGGCAGUAUGAUACAAAUAAAGAGCUUUUUGAACAUUAAAGCACGGAGACAUGUCACAGUAGAGAAACUAAAUACUGAUAUGACCCUGAAAAUGAGCAGAGUAGAGCCCCUUUAAAAAGCAGCUCCCGAUCGGCCCAAAAAUACAGAUUUUGGCACAAAUACGGUUGCAAGUUUGCUUCCUGCCGCACUGCCGAGGUGUCCUUGAGCAAGGCACCAAACCCCAACUUCUCCCUGGCUCCAUAACACUAGCCGCUUUCACUCUGCCACCUCUUCAUGAUUGCAUGUCUAUAGUUCCUGUUUUUGCAUGUGAGUGUAUUUCGGGCCUAUGUGUGUAAUUGUAAAAUAACAACAGAGUAAAGACUGAAUUUGGGGAUUCAUAACGGUGAUCUGAAUCUUAAAACCAGGUCGGCUAAGUUGUCCCUAAAUGAUUGACCAUUACUAUUUUGCACACCGAUAUGCCCUUAACGUCUCAGGCUAACACUAAUUACAUAAUCUCCAGCAACUACAGCUAGCAGAGUUAAGUAUGAGCCAAGGUCAGUGGCUCUGUAUUAGCAUAGUUGUACUUGUAGGUCAUAACAGUAUUUAGUAAAUCCACAGAUACUUUCACAGAUUUAGAUUGUUUGUUUGUUGUUUGUUUGUUGUCAUAGACUUUGUGUAUUAAUCUAGUUAGUUAAUUCUGAAUUCAAGUAAUGUGUUGUUCAAGGUUCAAGGUUCUUUAUUUGUCAUACGAACAUAGCUACGGUGUAGUUUUGCCGAUUAAAAUCUUGUGUCACAGGCUUCUCCAACAGUGCAACAUAAAACACAGAUAAACAGAAACAUAUAGUGCAAGUAAAUAAUAAAUAGUAAUACAAAAAGAAAAAUAGUUUUAAAAAAGUGAAAUAGAGCAAUAAGAGUCUAUAUGCAAGUAAUUGAAAUAGGAUAUAUAGGUAAAUAGAUACAUAAUUUUUAAAUAAUUUUUAAGUAGCAGCCAGAUGAAUAUUAGGGAUGUUGUUUCAACAGUUCAGGUGUUUACCAGUCUUAUUGCCUAUCGGAGGAAACUGUCCCUGAGUCUGAUGGUUUUAGUCCGGAUGCUGCGGUAACGCCUGCCAGACGGCAGCAGACAGAACAGUGUG